rnacentral:tRNA from 1 species
GGGCUCGUAGCUCAGUUAGGCAGAGCACCGGGCUUUUAACCCGAUGGCCGAGGGUUCAAAUCCCUUCGAGCCCG